CAGAUGGUGGCAUUUCGUUCAUUGAUGUCCUCUGAAACCGAUUCCAAUAACCAACAAUAUAAUAUAACCAACAAUUUCAGACCAGUGCAACCGCUAAAUUCCAGGCCAGUCUUUUCUAAUAACGUAAAUGGUGAUUGGUCGAAUUUCACUCCAUGGACAGCAUACGAUGACUGCACCGUCAUGUGCGGAACAGGUACAAUGGACCAAUGGCGAUCAAGAACAUGUAGUAACCCCGCCCCUGCUGAUGGAGGUGCUGAUUGUAUUGGUGUUAGUUUGGAGAACAGAACUAUCGAAUGUAAUACAGAUGUGUGUGGGGAAACAUGUCCAACUGAUACAGUUACAUAUAUUGCUCACCCUGAAAACAGCAAACGAUAUUACCAGUGUGACAACAACGUCGCCAGGAGACGCGACUGUGCGUCAGCCACAAUCUGGGAUAAUGCACAACGUGCAUGUGUCCACGAAGUCUCAACAGUGGGCAAUAUCUGUAGUAAUGAAAGUUUUUUAGUCGCCCACCCAACAGAUUGCACCAAAUAUUACAUGUGUUCCAGUGGACAACCAGUCGGAAAUGCUAUGCCUUGUCCUGCUGGUCUCGUUUUCAACCCAUCUUUAAGCGCAUGUGAUUAUGCUAUUAACGUCCCCGGAUGUUAGGCAUUUUUGACAAUUUUAUCUUUGUAAUUUGUUCAAAUAUAUUUUUUUUAAAACGGA